GUGUGUGUGUGUGUGUGUGUGUGUGUGUGUGUGUGUGUGUGGGUGUGUGUGGCAUGAGAGAGGUGUGCUAGAACACUGCUGAUUGGUGAAAGUGAGGGUGAAAUGAGGUUUUCAGUUGAGGAGUGUGUGUGUGUGUUGUGUGUGUGUGUGUGUGUGUGUGUGUGUGUGUGUGUGUGUGUGUGUGUGUGUGUGUGU